rnacentral:lncRNA from 1 species
UUGAAACAACAAAUAGUCUCUUGGAUUUAUUGUGUUACUAUGGUGACCAGGAGCCCUCAACUGAUUACCAUUUUCAACAAACUGGACAGUCAGAAGCAUUGGAAGAGGAAAAUGAUGAGACAUCUAGGAGGAAAGCUGGUCAUCAGUUUGGAGUUACAUGGCGAGCAAAAAACAACGCUGAGAGAAUCUUUUCUCUAAUGCCAGAGAAAAAUGAACAUUCCUAUUGCACAAUGAUCCGAGGAAUGGUGAAGCACCGAGCUUAUGAGCAGGCAUUAAACUUGUACACUGAGUUACUAAACAACAGACUCCAUGGAGCUGCUAAGACACAUGGUUGCACAGAAGGUGAAACCAAAUCUUCAGACUUUUAAUACCAUUCUGAAAUGUCUCCGAAGAUUUCAUGUGUUUGCAAGAUCGCCAGCCUUACAGGUUUUACGUGAAAUGAAAGCCAUUGGAAUAGGUGAGGAUGCGCCCUUGAGUUCUCUGAGGACAGAGACUGUGCCAGCCAGAGGUUUCAGGGCUACAUAAGCAAAGAGCUUUAAAUUAUUCUUGUGCUUACAUAAUAUGUUGGAAAUUUUCUUUCCAUGUUUGG